UACGGGGGGGCAAGCGUUGUUCGGAAUUACUGGGCGUAAAGGGCUCGUAGGUGGCCAACUAAGUCAGACGUGAAAUCCCUCAGCUUAACUGGGGAACUGCGUCUGAUACUGGAUGGCUUGAGUUUGGGAGAGGGAUGCGGAAUUCCAGGUGUAGCGGUGAAAUGCGUAGAUAUCUGGAGGAACACCGGUGGCGAAGGCGGCAUCCUGGACCGGUAUUGACGCUGAGGCGCGAAAGCCAGGGGAGCAAACGGG
rnacentral:rRNA from 1 species